AAAUAAUGAAAGUGAUCAUAGGGGAGGUUUUCCAAGACCACACAGCUAGACUGGCGUGGGGAGGCCAAGAACCAAGGGCUCUUUCUGAUACAUCAUUCACUUUUGCCCCUGAAAGUGAAAAUGCUGGGAACUCCAGGGAGAGCAAUGUGUGACAUUUAUAGAGUGGCCCGAAGCAGCACUUCUCCAUGCAUCUUUGGGGAGGCACUGACAGAGAGAGAGGGUGGGAUGAAGCCUUGAUCGGUGUCCUCUCCGCCUCAGCAAUCCAGGAAGCUGCCGCCGCAGUUACUGACAGGGACCCAGGAUGCUACACUACAUGGAGCAGCCCAACAUACCAGGAGGGGUCUCUCCUCGCCUCUGUGCUUGCCAGCCCUCCUCCUAGCCAUGCCCUUGCUCAGAUGUAUCCCAUAUCCACCUUUUAAAUCCCAGCUCUGUGUCCUCUAGAAAGUCUUCCUUGGUUUCUCCAAGAAGAGCUAAAAAUAGCUAACAUCUACAGGGUACUGUUCCAAGAGCUGUUCAGUCAUUUCUCGGUAACCAUGGGGGAUUAGUCCCAGAAACUCUGGAGGAUACCAAAAUCCACAGAUGCUCAAGUUGCUGACAUAAAAUUUGGUUUGCCAUAUAAGCUAACCACAUCCUCCAUGUACUUUAAGUCAUCUCUAGAUUACUUAUAAUACCUGAUACAAUGUAAAUGCUAUGUAAGUAGUUGUUACACUAUGUUUGCUACACUAUUUUGUUUAAGGAAUAAUGACAAGAAAAAAAGAAUCUGUACAUGUUCAGUAAAGAUGGUUUUUAAAAAAAUAUUUUUAUGGUGAAACCCCGUCUCUACUAAAAAUACAAA
rnacentral:lncRNA from 1 species